rnacentral:rRNA from 1 species
UACGGAGGAUGCAAGCGUUAUCCGGAAUGAUUGGGCGUAAAGCGUCCGCAGGUGGCUGUGUAAGUCUGCUGUCAAAGAGCAAAGCUCAACUUUGUAAAGGCAGUGGAAACUACACGGCUAGAGUGCGUUCGGGGCAGAGGGAAUUCCUGGUGUAGCGGUGAAAUGCGUAGAGAUCAGGAAGAACGCCGGUGGCGAAGGCGCUCUGCUAGGCCGUAACUGACACUGAGGGACGAAAGCUAGGGGAGCGAAUGGG